rnacentral:tRNA from 1 species
GCCCCUGUAGCUCAACCGGACAGAGCGAAAGAUUUCUAAUCUUUAGGUUACGGGUUCGAGUCCUGUCAGGGGUACCA